AGGCAUUAGCUUGGGUGUGUGGAAGUUUGAGCUUCUUUGCGUCUUUGGGAUUAUUGGCUUGGUGGAAUGAUAAGGCCUCGAAGAUUCCAUUCAUGCCAAAGGUAUAUACAUAUGACAACCUGCGGGUGGAGCUUGGUGGAGAACCAUCCGUAGAUCCUCAUGCAAGUAAUAUUAAGUUGUUUCGCUUGUGUCCUAUGCUCUUUAUUUGCUUACUUUUGGAACUU